UCAGGAUGAACGCUAGCUACAGGCUUAACACAUGCAAGUCGAGGGGCAGCGAGAAGGAAGCUUGCUUCUUGUCGGCGACCGGCGCACGGGUGAGUAACGCGUAUCCAACCUCCCCUUAGUAGGGCAUAGCCCGUAGAAAUGCGGAUUAAUACCCUAUGUUGUUCGAUGCGGACAUCUAAGUUGAACCAAAGGUUUACCGCUAAGGGAUGGGGAUGCGUCUGAUUAGGCAGCAGGCGGGGUAACGGCCCACCUGGCCGACGAUCAGUAGGGGUUCUGAGAGGAAGGUCCCCCACAUUGGAACUGAGACACGGUCCAAACUCCUACGGGAGGCAGCAGUGAGGAAUAUUGGUCAAUGGGCGAGAGCCUGAACCAGCCAAGUAGCGUGCAGGAAUGACGGCCCUAUGGGUUGUAAACUUCUUUUAGCCGGGAGUAAUAAGGCGCACGUGCUGCGCCGAUGAAAGUACCGGCGGAAUAAGCAUCGGCUAACUCCGUGCCAGCAGCCGC
rnacentral:rRNA from 1 species